rnacentral:rRNA from 1 species
AUUGAACGCUGGCGGCAUGCCUUACACAUGCAAGUCGAACGGCAGCGGGGGAGAAGCUUGCUUUUCCUGCCGGCGAGUGGCGAACAGGUGAGUAAUACAUCGGAACGUGCCCUGUAGAGGGGGAUAACUAGUCGAAAGAUUAGCUAAUACCGCAUACGACCUGAGGGUGAAAGUGGGGGACCGCAAGGCCUCAUGCUAUAGGAGCGGCCGAUGUCUGAUUAGCUAGGUGGUGGGGUAAAGGCCUACCAAGGCGACGAUCAGUAGCUGGUCUGAGAGGACGAUCAGCCACACUGGGACUGAGACACGGCCCAGACUCCUACGGGAGGCAGCAGCGGGGAAUUUUGGACAAUGGGCGAAAGCCUGAUCCAGCAAUGCCGCGUGUGUGAAGAAGGCCUUCGGGUUGUAAAGCACUUUUGUCCGGAAAGAAAUGGCUCUGGUUAAUACCUGGGGUCGAUGACAGUACCGGAAGAAUAAGGACCGGCUAACUACGUGCCAGCCGCCGCCGUAA